rnacentral:rRNA from 1 species
GACGAACGCUGGCGGCGUGCCUAAUACAUGCAAGUAGAACGCUGAAGGAGGAGCUUGCUUCUCCGGAUGAGUUGCGAACGGGUGAGUAACGCGUAGGUAACCUGCCUGGUAGCGGGGGAUAACUAUUGGAAACGAUAGCUAAUACCGCAUAACAGUAGAUAUUGCAUGAUAUCUGCUUGAAAGGUGCAAUUGCAUCACUACCAGAUGGACCUGCGUUGUAUUAGCUAGUUGGUGGGGUAACGGCUCACCAAGGCGACGAUACAUAGCCGACCUGAGAGGGUGAUCGGCCACACUGGGACUGAGACACGGCCCAGACUCCUACGGGAGGCAGCAGUAGGGAAUCUUCGGCAAUGGACGGAAGUCUGACCGAGCAACGCCGCGUGAGUGAAGAAGGUUUUCGGAUCGUAAAGCUCUGUUGUAAGAGAAGAACGAGUGUGAGAGUGGAAAGUUCACACUGUGACGGUAUCUUACCAGAAAGGGACGGCUAACUACGUGCCAGCAGCCGCGGUAAUACGUAGGUCCCGAGCGUUGUCCGGAUUUAUUGGGCGUAAAGCGAGCGCAGGCGGUUAGAUAAGUCUGAAGUUAAAGGCUGUGGCUUAACCAUAGUACGCUUUGGAAACUGUUUAACUUGAGUGCAAGAGGGGAGAGUGGAAUUCCAUGUGUAGCGGUGAAAUGCGUAGAUAUAUGGAGGAACACCGGUGGCGAAAGCGGCUCUCUGGCUUGUAACUGACGCUGAGGCUCGAAAGCGUGGGGAGCAACAGGAUUAGAUACCCUGGUAGUCCAAGGGCGAAUUCCACAGUGGAUAUCAGCUUAUCGAUACCGUCGACCUCGAGGGGGGGUACAAGUACCCAGCUUUUGUUCCCUUUAGUGAGGGUUA